GGGGCCGAUCGGUUUCGACACGUCGAUUUGAGACUGUGAGAAGCGGGUCGAGGACGCGAAGUUAUCUCGUAAACGCCCUUCGCAAACCAUAGGUGCCAACGCUAAGCGCACCGACUUCGCUCUCGCUGCCUAAGCACGAGACCGAGUCCGUCAAGUUCGGGUUCGUCCCCGCCCCGAUACUUGGCGUCAUUUAGGGGACUCGCUGGUGCGUCGCGUCUCGGGGCGCACCGGGACUCUCACCGAGGCUGGGCCUGUCGCUCGAGGUGUCCGUGACACAGAGCGGGGCCGAGUAGAACGCUUGCACGGACUACGCCCGUAGAAGGCACGGAAUCAUCGAAGUGGACCGGGGUUCGAUUCCCCGCGGCUCCACGA
rnacentral:tmRNA from 1 species